UUGGCUAGAUUUGUUUUAGCCCGGGUGAUAAAGUUUGGGUAUGAUCAUGUUGGCUUCGGUCGGUGUGGUUCUCUGCCCAAGCGUAUUACCAUGAGCAAAUCAGAAUGCUCAAAGUAGGCCUUCGUGCCUGAAUGUGUUAGCAUGGAAUAAUGAAAUAGGACCCUAGUCUUGUUUUGUUGGUAUACUUGACCUUGGGAAAUGAUGAAUAGGAACGGUUGGGGGCAUUUGUAUUUGGUCGCUAGAGGUGAAAUUCUUGGAUUGACCGAAGACAAACAACUGCGAAAGCAUUUGACCUAGGACGUUUCCAUUGAUCAGGGACUAAAGUUGAGGGAUCGAAGACGAUUAGAUACCGUCGUAGUCUUAACCACAAACUAUGCCGACUAGCGAUUGGAUCCUCGCCACUGGCAGGAUUCAGCAGCUUAGCGAAAGUAAAGUUUUUGGGUUCUGGGGGGAGUAUGGGACGCAAGGCUGAAACUUAAAGGAAUUGACGGAAGGGCACCACCAGGAGUGGAGCCUGCGGCUUAAUUUGACUCAACACGGGGAAACUCACCAGGUCCAGACAUAAUAAGGAUUGACAGAUUGAAAGCUCUUUCUAGAUUUUAUGGGUGGUGGUGCAUGGCCGUUCUUAGUUCGUGGAGUGAUUUGUCUGGUUAAUUCCGAUAACGAACGAGACCUUAUUCUGCUAAUUAGCUGGGCCAACUUUUUAGUUGGUAGUUUCUAGAUUUCGGUCUAGCCAGCUUCUUAGAGAGACUACUG
rnacentral:rRNA from 1 species